CGAACAACUGAAUACGAAGCCGUCAAAGAAUUUCCCUUUUUACAUAGGUAUCACCUUUACAUCGUAUAAAAGAGGCAAACGAUACCAAAGGGACAUUCAAACUCAUGAGUCGAAAAUAAACUGACAACGCCAUAGAUUAAAACGAAAAAGACAAACAGACAAACAACUGUACGCAAAUCACAACAUAGAAAACUUCAGACCAAGCAACAUGAAUUUACGACAUCCUUUCCUAUUUGUUUUCCACGGGGG
rnacentral:lncRNA from 1 species